rnacentral:lncRNA from 1 species
AGAAACGGAGGGGAGGAGAGAGAGAGUAAAUGGGAGAGAGAUGGAGUUAACGAAGAGAGUGGGCGCUGACAGGUGGGCCCAAAUUUGCCACGUGUCGAUUUUUGUAUGGUUGUACAUUUCGCCUACGUGGAGUGUUAAACCCACCCAAUAUUUUCUCCCCAACAUCCCCUUCGCAGACCCGACUCCCUUGUGCCCCUGCUCUCGGUGAUAUGCAGCGGAGGCGGCCGAGCUUGUCUCGGUCUAGACUCAGACCUCCGCCAGCCGCCGCCUCAGCCAGCCCUAAGCCGACAAGUCGGCCUUUGCCCGGACAGCCACCCUUGCCGACCACAUUGCCCCUCAACGCCGCGGGCGCCGAACUCAAGGGUCCAAGCAUAGACUCUCUCGGACAUUUCUCUAAACACCUGGGGUACGCCGGCAGGGAGGAGAGAAGGACACCUUAAUCGAGACUCGAGAUCGCGAUGGGACUCACGGCGUAGAAGAAGGAACAACCACGGUAGCCUAACGACGAACGGUCGGAGCCGGAGAUCACGCGAGGUGGAUGGCCACAAGUUUCGGCGUGGUUUUGUGUGAAUCGGGGCGAGAAUAGAGCCAUGCUCACCGUAUCCAGACGCGGGUGGCGACGACGCGAGCAGAUGGCGUCAUCGGUGGUGGAGCGGCGAAGGCAUCGGGCCAAGCAUCCGGUGCUGCACGUGGCGAGGGGUCUCACACUUCCGACCCUCUCUCUCUCUCUCUCUCUCUCUCUCUCUCUCUCUCUCUCUCUCUCUCUCUCAGAUCUCAAAUUGAGCUCCCUCCGUCCACAAGCUCUUGCUCGCUCUUUCCUCAGAUCUCGAUUUUUCAGAACCUCCGCCCCUCUCUUCCGGCUUCUCUCUUGGAUUCGCUCAUGGAUCUCUCUCCAGAUCUAAACCCCUUUCUCCCACGAGCUCUCUCUCUCUCUUGCUCUCUCUUAGAUCUUGGCUUGCUCGCUCUCGGGCCUCCCCUAAGUCUCUCGGGGGAAGUCGUCGAGCUUGCUGCCCUUUGAUCUCUCUGCUUGUGUUUUGCUUACUCUUCGAGCCUCUGAUGUCUCUCCGGGGAAGUUCUCUAAGCUCGUUGCCCCUUAAUGGAGAUCACAACCCACCUAUUUAUAAGUGAGGAAGGUCCGGUCGACGGAGGAGCUUCGGCCGUCGGUCCUUGGCUCGUCGACCAGAUUUUCUUGGCCGAACCGGUGUCCCAUCCUUCUUCGCAGAGGCAUGCUCGGCAUUGAAGACGGGGUGCCUAAGAAACAUCCUAUCAGUCACCUAUCGACCCUCCUCUCUCUGCCGUAGGCCAUCCUCGAGCAUGUCAUCGUUGCUGCGCGUGAAUUAUAGAGGCGGAGAGGGGAAGGGGGAAGGAAGAAGAAGAAAGAAGGAGGCAGAGUGACUGGGCUUGGAAAAAAUGC